rnacentral:tRNA from 1 species
CGCGGGAUAGCGUAACGGUAGCGCGCUGGUCUCAUAAGCCAGAGGACGAGGUUCAAUUCCUCACUCGCAACCA